UACGGAGGGAGCUAGCGUUGUUCGGAAUUACUGGGCGUAAAGCGCGCGUAGGCGGCUUUGUAAGUUAGAGGUGAAAGCCCGGGGCUCAACCCCGGAAUUGCCUUUAAGACUGCAUCGCUAGAAUCCAGGAGAGGUGAGUGGAAUUCCGAGUGUAGAGGUGAAAUUCGUAGAUAUCAGGAGGAACACCGGUGGUGUAAACGGCUUUCUGGACCAUAACUGACGCUGAGGCACGAAAGCGUGGGUAGCAAACAGG
rnacentral:rRNA from 1 species